AUCCUGUCUGAAUAUGGGGGGACCAUCCUCCAAGGCUAAAUACUCCUGACUGACCGAUAGUGAACCAGUACCGUGAGGGAAAGGCGAAAAGAACCCCGGCGAGGGGAGUGAAAAAGAACCUGAAACCGUGUACGUACAAGCAGUGGGAGCCCCACCACCAAAGCAUUCUCUGGUGUUGAAGGCCCUGCAAAGCAGCAUCGCGGUGGCGGAGCGUCGUUUGCGACGCCCAACACAYAAAACAAGCGGUGAGUGCUUUGGGGUGGGGUGACUGCGUACCUUUUGUAUAAUGGGUCAGCGACUUAUAUUCUGUAGCAAGGUUAACCGAAUAGGGGAGCCGGAGGGAAACCGAGUCUUAAUUGGGCGUUAAGUUGCAGGGUAUAGACCCGAAACCCGGUGAUCUAGCCAUGGGCAGGUUGAAGGUUGGGUAACACUAACUGGAGGACCGAACCGACUAAUGUUGAAAAAUUAGCGGAUGACCUGUGGCUGGGGGUGAAAGGCCAAUCAAACCGGGAG
rnacentral:rRNA from 1 species